UUGGGAGGUUGGCGCGGACGGAAUCCUCGCGAACCCGGUCAGGUCCGGAAGGAAGCAGCCGUAACGAGUCUUUUUCGGGUCGUCGCCAAUCUCCUUGAUG
rnacentral:SRP_RNA from 1 species